rnacentral:rRNA from 1 species
GUCGAGCGGACCUACAAGUAUAUUGCUACUUCGGUGUCUAACGGCGGACGGGUGACUUUGGCCUAGGAAGUUGCCCUUGGAAAGGAGAGAACCUUUGCUAUGAACCGUUUGUACCGCAGAUUCUCUUUGGAGCAAUGUGCGGGACCUUCAUUACUUGCUCUGUUGGGUACUGCUUUGUGGGAUUAACUAUCUGGUGAUGGACUGACUCGACGAUGCAACAAUCCGUAACUGGUCUGAGAGCAUGAUCCCUCCCGCUGGAACUGAUGCGGAAUCUUGACUCCUGCGGGAGGCCCUGAUGCGGACUUUUGCCGUGUGGGAUAACGCCUGAUGCGUUCUUGCCCCCUGUCUGAAGAGAGCAUUCUGAUUGUAAAUGACUUUCAAUCCCGAGGAAAGUUCUAGCCUUAAUACGCUUAUCUCUUGACGUUGCUAACGUAGGAAGCACCGGCUGACUCCGUGCCGUCCGCCGGCGGACUGAUGAGGGUGGGAUGAUUUCUCGAAGUUCAUGCUUGUAACUGCCUUGCAUGCGGUUCAUCUUGUCAUAUGUGAAGGCGAGUGGCACUCCCUCUGAACUGCAUUUGUUCCUGUUGGACUAGAGUACUGUCAAUGGCGAUAGAAUUUCACGGGUACCGUAGAGAUGCUUAGAUAUCUGAGCGAGUACCAGUGACGAGAUUAGCUCCCCGGACAGACCCUGACACUCACAAGCAAUG